rnacentral:rRNA from 1 species
UACGGGGGGGGCAAGCGUUGUUCGGAAUUACUGGGCGUAAAGGGCUCGUAGGUUGCCAACUAAGUCAGACGUGAAAUCCCUCAGCUUAACUGGGGAACUGCGUCUGAUACUGGAUGGCUUGAGUUUGGGAGAGGGAUGCGGAAUUCCAGGUGUAGCGGUGAAAUGCGGUAGAUAUCAGGAAGAACACCCGUGGCGAGGGCGGCUCUCUGGGACGGUACUGACGCUGAGACGCGAAAGCGUGGGGAGCGAACAGG